rnacentral:rRNA from 1 species
UACGUAGGGCGCAAGCGUUGUCCGGAAUCAUUGGGCGUAAGAGCGUGUAGGCGGCUCGAUAAGUCUGCUGUGAAAGUCCAGGGCUCAACCCUGGAAGGCCGGUGGAAACUGUCGGGCUAGAGUCCGGAAGAGGCGAGUGGAAUUCCCGGUGUAGCGGUGAAAUGCGCAGAUAUCGGGAGGAACACCAAUGGCGAAGGCAGCUCGCUGGGACGGUACUGACGCUGAGACGCGAAAGCGUGGGAGCAACAGG